rnacentral:misc_RNA from 1 species
GGGAUACACCAAACCCCUUUUAGUGAACUUUUUCCAGAUUAGAAGUUUCUAAUAUGUGAAAACUCUGAUGCUAGAGUGAGUGAUUGUUGGAAAGAACAGGGAUGGGACAUAUCUUUAAGAAGACUACUCAAUGACUGGGAGGUGAAUAGAGUGGCAGCGCUACAAAAAUACUAGCUGGAACAAUUAUUACUACAAUAAUAACUACAACAUUAAACAUA